rnacentral:piRNA from 1 species
AGUGCUGGAAUUAAAAUGUUCUGAUCAC